GCUUGUUGUGAUUCAGUUAGAAAACUUCGGUUUCGAAAUAAGAAGUGGAAAUCAAUGAAAGAAAACUGGAAAAAAUGUGUAGAUACAAAAACAGGAGAAGAGGAGUGUAGCUUGGAUUCUGAAUUCUAUAAUUGAGUAAAUAAACUUUUUAUUUUAUUCUAGUUGGACAAAAUCAAAAUAGUGAAUAGAGUGAUGUGAAAA